AUAAGUUUUUGUAGCGUCCGGGUGAGUAAUCGUUUAGAAUGUUACCUUUUAGUUUAAAACAGAACUACUUAAAAUUUUUAAGUAAAAAUUUUUAGAUAAUUGAUAAAAGUUAUUUAGAAGUAAGAGUAAAUGAAAAUUUACUUUUAUAAAACCUAAAUAUUCUGCUAAAAGAUAGGUCUAUACAAGAUUAGGUAGUUGGUAAUUUUAACAGCUUACCAAGCCUGUGAUCUUUAGUUGGUCUUAGAGGAUGAACAACCACACUGGAACUGAAAUAAGGUCCAGGCUAAUUUUUUAGCCAGCAGUAAGGAAUAUUGGACAAUGAACGAAAGUUUGAUCCAGCAAUACUAUAAGAAUGAAGAAGACUAAUAUUAGUUGUAAAGUUCUUCCAUUUGAUAUGGAUAAUGACAUUAUUAAAAGAAGUAGUCCCGGCUAAUACUCGUGCCAGCAGCCGCGGUAAAACGAGAGGGACAAGCGUUAUUCAUCAUGACUGGGCGUAAAAGGUUCGUAGACUGUAAAGUAAGUUUUUUGUAAAAAACUAAAGCUCAACUUUUGAAAUGCAUAAAAAUACUGCUUUACUUGAGUUUUAAUGCAGGAGAAUAUAAUUUUAUUUGUAAAGGUAAAAUUUAACUAUAAAUAAAGGAAUGCCCUUAGUGAAGACGAUUCUCUAGCAAAAACUGACGUUGAGGAACGAAAGUGUAGGUAGCAAACAGGAUUAGAAACCCUGGUAGUCUACACUGUAAAUUAUGAAUGCUGUAAUCUAAUGGUAAUAUAAAAAAGUUUUAUUUUAUAAUAAAAAUUGUUUAUAUACUUUGUUUUAAGUUGCUUUAGAUUUUUAAGUUAACACGAUAAGCAUUCUGCCUGAGAAGUACGAUCGCAAGGUUGGAACUCAAAGGAAUUGACGGGGGCCUAAAACUAGUGGUGGGGUAUGUGGUUUAAUGCGAUAAUCCCCGCAAAAUCUUACCAAUCUUUGACAUGAAAAGUUACUGAUUUGUUUAUUUUCAACAAAUUUUCUUAAAAGUUUGUUUUUAAAUAAGUUUUUACUUUUUACAGGUGUUGCACGACUGUCUUCAGCUCGUGUCGUGAGAUGUUUGGUUUAGUCCUUUAACGAGCGCAACUCUUAUCUUUAAAAUAACAAUUUACUAUUUUAAUAAACAAUCUUAUUUAUUAAAUUGCUUUAUAAGAUACUGUUAAUGAUAAAUUAAAAGAAGGUAAGAACUAAGUCAAGUCAAUGUGACCCUUAUAGAUUUGGGCUACACACAUGCUACAAUGGAAACUACAGUAAGUUACAAAAAUUUUUAGUAAAUCUUUUAAAAGUUUCCUCAGUUCGAAUUGUAAACUGCAACUCGUUUACAUGAAGUUGGAAUCACUAGUAAUCGCAAAUCAGCACGUUGCGGUGAACAUGUAAAUUGGCCUUGUACACACCGCCCGUCACAUGCAGAAAAUUAGUUUUACUUGAAGAUUGAAUUUUUAAAAAGUUUUUUCUAUUGAGAUAUUAAUAAUUUGGAUGAAGUCGUAACAAGGUAGUGGUACGGGAACGUGUCGCUG
rnacentral:rRNA from 1 species